CCCAAAAGAGGGGAGUCGGAAACUAAACCCCCCCUCCAAUUUUAAACCUUUCCCCCCAAUCAUAAAAAAACCCCAUCCCUGAGUUUUAAUUAAAUUUUUAAAAAGGAAAAAAAACUGGCGGUGUCCCUCCUUUAACAAAAAAAAAUCCCUUCGGGGUUUUCCAAAAACACCCCUUAAAAAAAAAUUUGGCCGGCCGAUGGGGGGUCCCUUUGGGCCUUAGCUCAACGUGGGAGACGCCCUCUUUCCAAACCGGGGGUUGUGGGUUUGAAUCCCGCCAGGCUCCCCCCAUUUUAAUUUGGUUCCGGAAAGUUUUUCCGGGUCUGUAGCUCAGGUGGUUAGAGCCCCACCCCUGAUAAGGGUGAGGUCGGUAGUUCGAGUCCUACCCAGACCCACCAUUCUCUGAAAUGACGCAUACCAUUCGAUCUUUAUACGCAUCAGCACUGUGGCUGGUACGUGUUCUUUUAAAACUUGUGACGUAGCGAGCGUUGAGAUGUUCUAUCAGACGUGUCGUGAGGCUAAGGCGAGAGACGCAAGUCUCUUUAUUGAUUGAGUCGUUAUAUUCGUAUCCGGGCUUGUACCCCCGGGUCAUGUUACCAAGCACUGCGUUAUGCCUGC
rnacentral:misc_RNA from 1 species